rnacentral:snRNA from 1 species
GUGCUCGCUUCGGCAGCACAUAUACUAAAAUUGGAACGAUCCAGAGAAGAUUAGCAUGGCCCCUGCGCAAGGAUGACACGCAAUAAAAAUUAAAAAUAUUAUUUU